UACACAGAGUUGAGAUGACACAGAGUUUAUGUGAGACAUACUUGAUCACAUCAUCAAUGGGCCAAGGGUUUCCAUGAAUACGUAAGGUCCACGUUUUGAUAAAGCUGUCCUGGCAGUGAUAUCAAAAUGUCAUGUUCCAUUCAAUUUCAAUGCAUUAAAACAAAAUUCUUAUCAGAGGACCAUUGGUUGUUCAAGAGCACAUCUCAGGUAUCCUUUCUAGUAAGAUGAGAGUGCAGCCUGGCCUGGCACAACACCAAAUCCCCAGUAGGAGAUCAGGAUUGGAAAAAAGGACAGUUGAACUCUCGUUUGGAGCCGCCUGAUGGAAAACAUAACUGGUUUCAUCACUUAUAGUCAAGACCAGAAGAGAGAGAAAAGAUGAAGUUAGGAAUGGAGUCGGUGAAGGCCCCAGGCAGCAGCACUCCUGGAAUCUGACAGCAGGCACUCAGCCCAGCCACUUUUCCACUCUCUUCUAAUCCAGAAGAAAUAACAACAACACUCCAUACCUCCUGAGAUCUGAAAGUUUAGAACACUGAUUCCACCAGCGUUUGCAGUCUUAGGUUGGAACAGAAAUUGGAGAGCAUUCGAAAGAGGACUGCAGAGACAGGGUGUACCAGUUGUGAUUCCUACGUUGGCUCAGAAUAAAAGGUGGGAAUGAUCAUGUAUGGUGAUUCUGAAGAACUCAUUGCAGAAACAUGGGGCGCCUGGAUGGCUCAGGUGGUUAAGUGAUUGCCUUCGACUCAGGUCAUGAUCCCGGGGUCCUGGGAUCAAGCCCUAUGUCAGGCUCCCUGCUGAGCAGGGAUCUGCUUCUCCCUUUUCCCUCUAUGCUUUUGCACAGACUCUCUCUGUCAAAUAAAUAAAUAAAAUCUUAAAAUUAA